GGGGGCGAUUUGGAUUCGACGCCGGUGACAAAACCCAAGGUGCAUGUCGUGAUGACAGCCAAUCACGUUAAUCCAAAGCUGUAACUUACUAGUUGCCAACGACGACAACUACGCUUUAGCGGCCUAAACCCCGCUAACAGUCACCAACGGAUGCUUGUAAACGGAACGUGACUGUCAGACAGAACAAGCUCGCAGCAAAGCCCGCCCGAGGUGGCGCUGUUAAACACUGAUUCGGGAUCGCGCUUAACGUCCUGCCCGUCGGGCUGUUAAGGGCUAAAUCAAUUGACGGAAUCUAAGCAUGUAGAGCCGCGGGCGGAGUGCUGACGGACGGGGGUUCAACUCCCCCCGCCUCCACCA
rnacentral:tmRNA from 1 species